rnacentral:rRNA from 1 species
GAUGAACGCUGGCGGCGUGCCUAAUACAUGCAAGUCGAACGCACAGCGAAAGGUGCUUGCACCUUUCAAGUGAGUGGCGAACGGGUGAGUAACACGUGGAUAACCUACCUCAAGGUUGGGGAUAACAUUUGGAAACAGAUGCUAAUACCGAAUAAAACUUAGUAUCGCAUGAUACCAGGUUAAAAGGCGCUACGGCGUCACCUAGAGAUGGAUCCGCGGUGCAUUAGUUAGUUGGUGGGUAAAGGCGUUACCAAGACAAUGAUGCAUAGCCGAGUUGAGAGACUGAUCGGCCACAUUGGGACUGAGACACGGCCCAAACUCCUACGGGAGGCUGCAGUA